GGACUACCGGGGUAUCUAAUCCUGUUUGCUCCCCACGCUUUCGUGCAUGAGCGUCAGUGCAGGCCCAGGGGAUUGCCUUCGCCAUCGGUGUUCCUCCGCAUAUCUACGCAUUUCACUGCUACACGCGGAAUUCCAUCCCCCUCUGCCGCACUCCAGCGAUGCAGUCACAGAUGCAGUUCCCAGGUUGAGCCCGGGGAUUUCACAACUGUCUUACAUCACCGCCUGCGCACGCUUUACGCCCAGUAAUUCCGAUUAACGCUUGCACCCUACGUAUUACCGCGGCUGCUGGCAC
rnacentral:rRNA from 2 species